rnacentral:lncRNA from 1 species
CGCAAAACAUCGCCGGAGACGGAUGCAUUGCGGCGGCGGCGAGCAGCAGGAUGUGCCGGAGCUGCGAGGAAGAGGAAUCAUGGGUGUUGCUUUUGGGAUUAGGUUAAAUUAGGAUUGGGAUUAAAUUAAAUUAAAUUAAAUUAGUUUUCUUAAUUGGUGGAGCUGAACAUGCUCAAAAUAUGACGGGUUCGGCCAUGGCAGGAGCUCUGGGUGGUCUGGGGACGAUGUGGAGGCCGAUUUUGGGUUUUUUUGUGGAUUGGACGGAGGACGG